rnacentral:rRNA from 1 species
AGUUUCUUUCGGGAAAUGAGUAGAGUGGCGCACGGGUGAGUAACGCGUAAGUAAUCUACCCUGGUAUUUGGGAUAACCCACCGAAAGGUGUGCUAAUACCGAAUACGCUGAUUUAUCAGGAAAGGUGGCCUCUUCAUGAAAGCUACUGUACCAGGAGGAGCUUGCGUACCAUUAGCUAGUUGGUAGGGUAAAGGCCUACCAAGGCGACGAUGGUUAGCGGGUCUGAGAGGAUGAUCCGCCACACUGGAACUGAAACACGGACCAGACUCCUACGGGAGGCAGCAGUGAGGAAUAUUGCGCAAUGGGGGAAACCCUGACGCAGCGACGCCGCGUGGAUGAUGAAGGCCUUCGGGUCGUAAAAUCCUGUCAGAUGGGAAGAAGUGCAUAUAUGUUAAUAGCGUAUAUAUUUGACGGUACCAUCAAAGGAAGCACCGGCUAACUCCGUGCCAGCAGCCGCGGUAAUACGGAGGGUGCAAGCGUUGUUCGGAAUUACUGGGCGUAAAGCGCGCGUAGGCGGCUUUUUAAGUCAGAUGUGAAAGUCCACGGCUCAACCGUGGAA